AAGCACUUUAAGCGAGGAGGAGGCUACUUUAGUUAAUACCUAGAGAUAGUGGACGUUACUCGCAGAAUAAGCACCGGCUAACUCUGUGCCAGCAGCCGCGGUAAUACAGAGGGUGCGAGCGUUAAUCGGAUUUACUGGGCGUAAAGCGUGCGUAGGCGGCUUAUUAAGUCGGAUGUGAAAUCCCCGAGCUUAACUUGGGAAUUGCAUUCGAUACUGGUGAGCUAGAGUAUGGGAGAGGAUGGUAGAAUUCCAGGUGUAGCGGUGAAAUGCGUAGAGAUCUGGAGGAAUACCGAUGGCGAAGGCAGCCAUCUGGCCUAAUACUGACGCUGAGGUACGAAAGCAUGGGGAGCAAACAGGAUUAGAUACCCUGGUAGUCCAUGCCGUAAACGAUGUCUACUAGCCGUUGGGGCCUUUGAGGCUUUAGUGGCGCAGCUAACGCGAUAAGUAGACCGCCUGGGGAGUACGGUCGCAAGACUAAAACUCAAAUGAAUUGACGGGGGCCCGCACAAGCGGUGGAGCAUGUGGUUUAAUUCGAUGCAACGCGAAGAACCUUACCUGGCCUUGACAUACUAGAAACUUUCCAGAGAUGGAUUGGUGCCUUCGGGAAUCUAGAUACAGGUGCUGCAUGGCUGUCGUCAGCUCGUGUCGUGAGAUGUUGGGUUAAGUCCCGCAACGAGCGCA
rnacentral:rRNA from 1 species